UAGCAACAGCAGCCAUUCACCUUUUUCUGCUAAGCUUGUACGUGGUGAACGAUCAACCUCGUUUGUAUGGGGAAGCAUUAGGAAGCAUUGCCUCAACUCAUCAUCACAUGUUCCACCACCCCCACAACAGCGUUUUGACAAAAGGAAAUGGUAGAAAAGAAAAAUGAAUCCACAGUAGUUAGUUCAGAGCAGCUCAAGUAAUUGAAAGUGUCCACAAAACACACCAGUUUCUUGGUAACCAAACAGGAAUCUAUUAAAGAAUCAUCUUGAAACUCGAUAAACAACCAUGAGAUGCAUGAACUUGGGCGCAUUCAAGAAUAGAAACCUUAGCGCAACAUUUCCAGACAGCUCAACAGGACUUGUGCAUGUCAACUUUCUUGCAUUACAACCAAUCACCAAUUCAAUCAAAUGGUUUAGUCUCAUAAAGUUUAAACAUUCUAAGUCACAACUAACUUUAGAACCCAUACAUAUUUUAACAAAAUUGAGCAAAUUCCAGGAGUUAAAGAGACUUCUUGAACUAAACAUUGCUUAGAAAAGUGCUUUAGAAAUGAUAUUGCAUAUUUUUCUAGCAAUGAUUAUUGAAAAGAUGACUUCUCACAGAGGUAGCAUUACAUGCCAACAUUCAUUUAAAUUGAGGUCAACAGGUAUCUGGCAGCACUUCCAAGAAAUAUCACAUAACUGCACAGCACCAGUAUCAUGACAACUACGCAGAUUUCAUAUAAAUCCUGGUAAAACACCAAUAACACAGCAGAGUAGAAAGAUUUCCUGAAUCUUGGAGCCUUUCUUAACAAAGUUAUGGAGUGUAGAAUUCAACUGUCCAGACAAUUUGGGGAAAGGAACCCAAAGAAAGAAGAACGCAUAAUAACCUCAAAAAUUAAAUUAACCAUGAUGGUCUAGCUCACUGACGCAAGCAGAAAUUCAGAAAAGGAAAAAAUCUGGGAGAAAGAACCAACAGCACGCAGAAUGCAUAACCUCAAGACUAAAUUAACCACAUUGGUCUAGUUACCAACACAGGCAGAAUAAUCAAAAUCAGAGGCAGAGGCACCAUUAAGGAUUUUGGUGAAGUGUAAAAUCUCAUAGUUCAGCAAUAGAGAUGGAAAUCCCAUAUUUAAAGGAGGAAAACAAAUUAACACCACCAGCAUGUGAAUAGAUAUGUACAAGGAUAGCCCUACCACCAAUUGCUUUCACAACUUCUCAUCCCAGUAACAAGGUCCACUAGUCCACCGAACAAUUUACAAUAAUUUCAAGUAAAUACGAAGCCAUCUUCCUACCCAAACAAAGGAUCACCACAUAUACAGAACACACGCUGAUACUGUUGGCGACGAGAAUGAAAUCAAACAUCUCAAACUAUGACAAUGACACUUCAUUUCUUAUAACUGAAGCCCAAACCUGUCCACAUCUAUAUUCUAGCAAGGCAGGUGAAAUAUGACAGCCAAAUAUACAUUUUCCCAACCAUCACCAACAUCAGUUGCAUAUCAAACUUUGCAACAAUCAAUGAAUCACCGAUCUUAGCUGCUCUCACGAACAGGAAAUCAAACAACCACAAGUAAUAAUCCACUAUGGUUGGAAAAGCCGACAGUGGAGAAAAGAAAGAUAACCGAAAAGACCUCUAGAAGCCACCAACAAGACACAGUCCAACUCAAAACAAUAUAUGUAUGUAUUCAAAGAGAAUUACCGACCAGCAACCUGCAGGUGCUACUACAACUUGUAUGUAUGAAUAUAACAACUGCAAAAUGUCACCACAAGAUAAACUAAAUAUCCAAAGAUGCCUUUGUAUGUGAAGAAAAUAUGGGAUUGCAAAACCAGAAAAUUUUAUUUACUUCUCUGGAUAUUUAGUUUAGCUCGUUGGUUGUCAUUUUGCAGCGAUUUUAUUUGCAUACACAAGUUGUAGUAACACCUACAACAAGGGAUGAAUAUCAGUCAUGGACAAACAAAUCGUUCCAUCAUUGUUAUCCAAAAGAAAUUAAAAUGCAACAAUAUGCUUUGAUAGUAAUUCCCCGAGCUUUUAUUGAAACAUCAUAUAUUAUAAGGUACAUGCAUUUCUUACACAAUAAAUAUGUAGGCAGAAGCAAAUGUUAUAGGAGGUUUCUCUUAAAAACAUUAAGAAAGAUCAAAAUGAUAAGAGAUAAAACACAGGUAAAGCAAUAUGUAAAGAAAACCUAACAAAAUAUAAAUUACAGCAACAACCGUACACAGUCGCUCCAAACAAGGAAAUAUGAUCUGAAUACUUGUAAGAGCUAUACUAGUACUUGAAAAGCCCAAAUGGCAAAUAUGUUCUGUCAUAAGUACAAACUAGGCUAACUCAGUCAUUUGGAAAACCAUCAUUCAGAAAUAAACCACAUCUUAAAGGUGCAGAUCAAGACAUCAAGCGAAGAAGUGGCCGUAAAAGCAAAGCUAAUACAAUCAUAUAGUCUGCAUUACGAAAUCACCAGAACCACAAAAAGCAUCUGCGCCAACAAGCUGUCAUACACCUGAAUCAAACACCCAUUCACAACUCAAUUCAUCAUUCCGCAUCAUCAACAAAACAAAGGUCAUACAAAACUACAGCUAGUAACCAAACAAACUAAGAAAAACUAAUACUGCAACAGAGCUUAACAUGAGAUGCAAAAAAUAAGAAACUACAAGCAAAUAAGCAUACAUUUUUUAGAGCACAUCAAAAUUAAUCACAAGGCAGAGCAACUCAUUGAGAUUAUAAUGGGGCUGCUUUCAAGUAGAAGAGCUUCUUUAGACCAGACUUUAGCACUACUGGGUUUGAUACAUAACAAUGCGAAAGAACCAGUUACAAGUCAUCAACUUUAUAGGUUAUUUUUACAUUGUUAACAGCAUUACUAAUCGUAUAGGCAUGUUAGUUUAAUCAGGUGUUGCAUUGUUAGAGGAAAUCAAUUAUAAAGGACCAUAAUUGCAAACCAUCCCAGACUCCUGAUAUCCAUAACAUAUGAACACCACAAUGGAAGUGGUGGCAAUGCAGCAGAAAACAAGAAUUGUAUGAGUGCCACAGAUAAAAUUCACGUUGCAACAAACAUGCAAUGACGUCAUUAGAACGAGAGAAUGAAAACGUUUAAUUACAGAACAAGAGAAGGCUGGAUACUUCUGGAUUACCCCACUGUUAUCACCCCAGUAUUUGCCAGUUAAAAUUGCAAAAACAACAGACAGUAAACGAAUCGAAUAAACACGUGAACAAAUAGAUUACAAAGAUAACAAUCAAAUACCAAAUGUGGAAAAAGCAAAAUCAAAGAAAAAAAUGAAAAAAAAAUAACUGGGCUAACAAGGAAUUAGCAUACAAUAAGAUGAAUUAAGCAGCAAACAGACUACUACAACAAUGAACAAGCAAAACCAGAAAAACAGGUCCAUACAUUCUACCAAAACCAUUAUAAUAAAAGCACCAAAACUAUGAGCACAUUAAUCAAUGAGAAAACACAUAAUGAAGGAAGACUACCUCAAUAGUAAGGCGGCACGUUCGGGUACAUUCCACCAGGAGGAACUCUAGGAACUGGAGACGUCCCUGCUGCCUGGUGAUGCUGACUUGGAUAACCGGCCGAAGUAGAUGACAAGCCGUAAUGCCCGGCUUCAGGAUACCCUCCAG
rnacentral:lncRNA from 1 species